rnacentral:rRNA from 1 species
UACGGAGGGUGCAAGCGUUGUCCGGAAUCACUGGGCGUAAAGGGCGCGUAGGCGGCUCAUGAAGGCUGUGGUGAAAGUCCGGGGCUCAACCUCGGAUCGGCCGUGGCGACUCGUGGGCUGGAGCACUGUAGAGGCGGGUGGAAUUCCGGGUGUAGCGGUGGAAUGCGUAGAGAUCCGGAAGAACACCAGUGGCGAAGGCGGCGCUCUGGACCGAGACUGACGCUGAGGAGCGAAAGCGUGGGUAGCAAACAGG